UGAGCCACAGAUGAUGCUAAGAUCUC
rnacentral:piRNA from 1 species